GCACUGAUUAGGAGUCCCAUACUAGGACGAAACGGCCGUCCAGUGC
rfam:Schistosoma haematobium scaffold1580_3, whole genome shotgun sequence.